UCACCAAACCUCGACGAAUCAACGCUCAAACCACCACCACGUCCACCCUCUUGACCUCGCGAGCUCGAACCCGAGCUCCGUUUCGUAGGAAACCGAAACUAGAGGCUCUAGCUCGAAGCUCCGACGAGAAAGAAACUUCCCGACGAAGUUCCCGACACUUUUCCGACCGCUCCACACCGUAUUGGAAGAGUUGGAAGCCACCACAGAACUCCCUAACGUCACUGGGUCAAGUUUGAGGCAAUCCCCAACUCGAAAACACCCGGCUUCGAAGCUUUGGGUUUUUUUGCGGAGACUUUCAGGCCAAUUUCAGUACACGUCUGCUUUUUGGAGUUCCAAGAGGUAUAAACUUGUUCCUUGUGCUUCAUUUCCAUAUAAAGAACGUAAAAAAUGGGACCUUCCGGCGUGUUUUUGGCUAAAUCACGGCGAGUUAGCCGUACCAAUUUGUUCAUCUCAUUCCGAGAUGUCGGCUAGUACGCCUUGACUUCGGUUGGGAUGUGUCAAAGUUUGUGAAGCACCACUUCCAGUUCCAAGCAUAUGAUUUGGUGUUGAACAAGGCAUAAAUUUCAUAAUUUCACUUUUACUCUGGACAGUUGUAUUGUGUUGACUUACAAUACAGGUACUACAUAUUUCUCGAAAACUAUUUCAUUCCAAUAUUUGUUGUUUUAGACGUUUGUUUUUACUCUACCUAUCCAAGAAAUAAAAGUGUUGAUUUUACAUUCUAGUACCC
rnacentral:sRNA from 1 species